GAUCCUGGCUCAGGAUGAACGCUAGCGACAGGCUUAACACAUGCAAGUCGAGGGGCAGCACGGUGUAGCAAUACAUUGGUGGCGACCGGCGCACGGGUGAGUAACGCGUAUGCAACCUACCUAUCAGAGGGGAAUAACCCGGCGAAAGUCGGACUAAUACCGCAUAAAACAGGGGUUCCACAUGGAAAUAUUUGUUAAAGAUUUAUCGCUGAUAGAUGGGCAUGCGUUCCAUUAGGUAGUUGG
rnacentral:rRNA from 1 species